ensembl:lncRNA
UGAUGAUCUCACUGGCGUCUAGUAAGGCGGUGUUUAAAUGGCCAAAGAGGCGGAGUAUAAUUUGAAUAUUCUAGCGCGAUUGGCUCAUGACACUUGUCAAUCUGGCCGUAGAAGGCAGUGAAAGGUGUGAGCUAUUUUUAGAGAGCUAUAUAGCAGCGGCAGCGCUCUGGCGUCGCUCAUACUGCCGGAGAGAACGAAACAAACAGAAGUAGAAGUUGCAGUUUGUAACGUGAAGCAAUUCUACGCUUGUAUGAAGUCAUAUCAGUUGGAAAUCACACAUUACGGUCUCCCUGCCAGAGAGAAUUAGCCAGAGUGGGGGUUGAAUGGAGGGGUGGAGGCUGCUCUGUAAGACACGCUAGCCUGUCUAUAUCAAAAAUAUACACUGAACAAUUUGCAGCUGAAUGUCGAAGAGUAUGCGAUUUCCAUUGCUACAGAUCCAUGCAGCAGGUCAGAUGCCGGGGGACAAGAUUGAGUCCUGCCUCUUCCUCUUUGGCCAGAGAGCUCUACCGAGGCACAAAGGAUGCUGGAAAGAAGAAGCAGAUCAAACCCCAGUUGGCAGUGCAGCGGUCGCCGACGUGGCAGAGUGCGGGAAGGGGAAUCAGAGGAGAAGUAAGAGGUUGCAGCAUGAGAUCAUAGGAGUCACACUGAGCCACCAGAUCCAGUCUGUAUCCAGAUCAGAGGGUCACUGCAGUCACCCGGAUCCAGUACGUAUCCAGCCCAGAUGGUGGAUCAGCACCUAGAAAGGACCUCUACAGCCCUGAAAGACAGCGGAGGCCUGGACAACUAGAUGAGCCGCAGAGACAGAUCCCCUGUGAAGACCUUGUCUCAGACGACCAUCAGGACAAGACCACAGGAAACAGAUGAUUCUUCUGCACAAUCUGACUUUGCUGCAGCCUGGAAUUGAACUGCUGGUUUCAUCUGGCCAGAGGAGAACUGGCCCCCCGAAUGAGCCUGGUUUCUUCCAAGGUUUUUUCUCCAUUCUGUCACCGAUGGAGUUUUGGUUCCUUGCCACUGUCACCUCUGGCUUGCUUGUUGCUUGCUAGUUGGGGACACUUCAUUUACAGCGAUAUCGUUAACUUGAUUGCAAAUGAUUGCACAGAUACUAUUUAAACUGAACUGAGAUGAAUGACAUCACUGAAUUCAAUGAUGAACUGCCUUUAACUGUCAUUUUGCAUUAUUGACACACUGUUUUUCUAAUUAAUGUUGUUCAGUUGCUUUGACACAGUCUUUAUUGUUUAAAGCGCUAUAUAAAUAAAGGUGACUUGACUCCUCA